UACGUAGGGAGCAAGCGUUGUCCGGAUUUACUGGGUGUAAAGGGUGCGCAGGCGGCUAGGCAAGUCAGGCGUGAAAACCAUAGGCUCAACCUAUGGACUGCGUUUGAAACUGUUUAGCUUGAGUGAAGUAGAGGUAGGCGGAAUUCCCGGUGUAGCGGUGAAAUGCGUAGAGAUCGGGAGGAACACCAGUGGCGAAGGCGGUCUACUGGGCUUUAACUGACGCUCAGGCACGAAAGCAUGGGUAGCAAACA
rnacentral:rRNA from 1 species